rnacentral:rRNA from 1 species
GAUGAACGCUGGCGGCGUGCCUAAUACAUGCAAGUCGAGCGAACGGACGAGAAGCUUGCUUCUCUGAUGUUAGCGGCGGACGGGUGAGUAACACGUGGAUAACCUACCUAUAAGACUGGGAUAACUUCGGGAAACCGGAGCUAAUACCGGAUAAUAUUUUGAACCGCAUGGUUCAAAAGUGAAAGACGGUCUUGCUGUCACUUAUAGAUGGAUCCGCGCUGCAUUAGCUAGUUGGUAAGGUAACGGCUUACCAAGGCAACGAUGCAUAGCCGACCUGAGAGGGUGAUCGGCCACACUGGAACUGAGACACGGUCCAGACUCCUACGGGAGGCAGCAGUAGGGAAUCUUCCGCAAUGGGCGAAAGCCUGACGGAGCAACGCCGCGUGAGUGAUGAAGGUCUUCGGAUCGUAAAACUCUGUUAUUAGGGAAGAACAUAUGUGUAAGUAACUGUGCACAUCUUGACGGUACCUAAUCAGAAAUGCACGGCUAACUACGUGCCAGCAGCCGCGGUAAUACGUAGGUGGCAAGCGUUAUCCGGAAUUAUUGGGCGUAAAGCGCGCGUAGGCGGUUUUUUAAGUCUGAUGUGAAAGCCCACGGCUCAACCGUGGAGGGUCAUUGGAAACUGGAAAACUUGAGUGCAGAAGAGGAAAGUGGAAUUCCAUGUGUAGCGGUGAAAUGCGCAGAGAUAUGGAGGAACACCAGUGGCGAAGGCGACUUUCUGGUCUGUAACUGACGCUGAUGUGCGAAAGCGUGGGGAUCAAACAGGAUUAGAUACCCUGGUAGUCCACGCCGUAAACGAUGAGUGCUAAGUGUUAGGGGGUUUCCGCCCCUUAGUGCUGCAGCUAACGCAUUAAGCACUCCGCCUGGGGAGUACGACCGCAAGGUUGAAACUCAAAGGAAUUGACGGGGACCCGCACAAGCGGUGGAGCAUGUGGUUUAAUUCGAAGCAACGCGAAGAACCUUACCAAAUCUUGACAUCCUUUGACAACUCUAGAGAUAGAGCCUUCCCCUUCGGGGGACAAAGUGACAGGUGGUGCAUGGUUGUCGUCAGCUCGUGUCGUGAGAUGUUGGGUUAAGUCCCGCAACGAGCGCAACCCUUAAGCUUAGUUGCCAUCAUUAAGUUGGGCACUCUAAGUUGACUGCCGGUGACAAACCGGAGGAAGGUGGGGAUGACGUCAAAUCAUCAUGCCCCUUAUGAUUUGGGCUACACACGUGCUACAAUGGACAAUACAAAGGGCAGCGAAACCGCGAGGUCAAGCAAAUCCCAUAAAGUUGUUCUCAGUUCGGAUUGUAGUCUGCAACUCGACUACAUGAAGCUGGAAUCGCUAGUAAUCGUAGAUCAGCAUGCUACGGUGAAUACGUUCCCGGGUCU